CCCUUAGAUGUUCUGGGCCACACACGCGCUACAAUGACAAAGUCAACGAGUAGAUCCGUUACUGAUAAGUACCGGUAAUCUUUUCAGUCUUUGUCGUGAUGGGGAUAGACCCUUGUAAUUAUUGGUCUCCAACGAGGAAUUCCUAGUAAACGCAAGUCAUCAACUUGCAUUGAUUACGUCCCUGCCCUUUGUACACACCGCCCGUCGCACCUACCGAUUGAAUGGCCCGGUGAAGUCUUCGGACUGGAGCUGACUCGUUAGCUCCAGAAAGUUGAGUAAACCUUACCAUUUAGAGGAAGGUGAAGUCGUAACA
rnacentral:rRNA from 1 species